CUCAGGAGGAAGUCCUGGUUAAUAAAGCCAAUGAUGGUGUUUCCACUUCCCUUGCCAGUCCUCCGUUUAGGAGGAGACAGCCGACCCGGACCUGGGCAAUGAGACCAGAGGGAAGCAAAGAUGAAGUAUCAACUUGAUUUGGUGUCGAUAAAAAAUUGAUGGAUGCUUCUGACUGCUACUUCUCAACAAUACAUGGAUUAUUACUACCAUAAUUAUCAUAAAUG